CUAGGAAGGAAAAGAGCUUAAAGGUACGCGUGUUGAUCAUCUGGGAUGGGAGGGAGUCCCUUUCAUUCCACUCUCUCUCAAAAAUCUCAAAAGUAAAAAGCUACCCACAUGGAAGAGACAUCCUAAUUAUCCCUCUAAUUUUUUUUUUAUAUUAUUUCCUAUGCAUGCCAUUCCAUAAUCAUUUGCCCUCUACUCUGUCUGCGCCCAUAAUUAAAUACACUUGCUCUCUCUCUCCUUUCCUUCUUCUUUCUCUCUCUCUCUCCGUAUGGGUAUUUCCUCUCAUCCAAGGAAGAUGCAAGAACUGUCAGUAGAGCUUCCAACACAGACUAUUCCUCACUGCGAACCAUCAAAGCAUUUUGGAAAAUUGGUGUGCGAAUUCGAGGGUUUUGUGUACAACCUUGCAAAUCCCUUCUGAUUAAGGUGGCGGUGUUUGCUUGGUUUUGUGCUCUGGUCUCAGAAAUUGAAUAGUUUUUUUUCUGGUGGUUUCAUGCUAUCUUUAACUCCAAGUGGAAAGUCCAUGGAGCAAAAAAUGGACAAUCACAAUUAUUAUUGGCUUAUAUCAAAGUGUCAGUACCCACAUAAUGACUUUGGGCAUUAUUAAAUGGGAUGGGACACCUACUACAGUGGGCACAACUUAUGAAACUCAGAAGGAAUGACGACUGCUCAUUCGUCUUCCAGAUGAUCCCGUGCUUAAUGAUCAUGAGUUUGAAAAUCUUUGGUAAUGAUUUCAAAACAAAGAAAUUUUUUGUUAGUAUUCCAUUGACACCAAAAUGAGUUAGGGGUAAGGAUCGGAGAUCAGGAAGUACCAAAGAGCGACCGCUUUCGCUACCUUGGAUCUAUCUUGCAAAAGAACAGAGAAUUAAAUGGAGGCCUCAACCAUAGAAUACAAGCUGGAUGGAUGAAGUGGAAGAGUGCAUCCGGUGUGUUGUGUGACCGUCGUAUGCCACUGAAGCUAAAGAGAAAAUUAUAUAGGACAUCAAUAAGGUCGGUGAUGCUGUAUGACACGGAAUAUUGGGCGGUGAAGCAUCAACACAUACAUAAAAUGGGUGUAGCGGAGAUGAGAAUGCUUUGUUGGAUGUGUGGGCACACAAAAAAUGAUAAGAUUAGGAAUGAGGAUAUUCGAGGUAAAGUAGGAGUAGCCAAAAUUGAAGGAAAGACGAGAGAAAAUCGAUUACGAUGGUUUAGACAUGUGCAAAGAAGGCUUACUAAUGCUCCGGUUAGAAGAUGUGACUACGGGAUAGAGGUCUAGGGCCGAAGGGGUAGAUAAAGACCUAGGAAAACUUUGGAAGAGACUCUAAGAAAAGACUUAGAGUACUUGGAUCUAACGGAGGACAUGAUAUAGAACCGAGCGCAAUGGUGUUCUAGGAUUCAUAUAACCAACUCCACUUACUGGAAAAAGGCUUUGUUGUUGUUGUAGUAUUCCAUCGAUAAUUAAUGAAGGUUUGUGGUAAUUUUUUUUCCUCUGUUAGAUGUGUUCUAAUGCUAUGUUUUCCAUUGCACAAUUGAUGAAUUGUUCACUUAUCUUUCAAACAUAAUCUUCCAUACAAUUUUCAAUCGAUCGGAUUGAAUUUCCUAGUGUGUCCAUUCUACACUCUAUCCUCUGUCUCUUCUCUCAUUUCCUCCUGCCUCUCCUCUCUCUCCCUCCCUUUUCCCAAUCAACCCGAGCCUUUCUUUAACCCCAAAUUCUGGCCAAGCCUGCUGGAAUUGGACCUCAAUCCAAGAGAUUAGUGAACAGUUCUUGGGCGUCCACGGAGUGCAAGCAUGGUGAACUUCGUCGGUUGGUUGUGGCAGCUUUUUGGUGCAUACCGUUUCGUUCCUGCUAUGUGGGGAACAUCAUUCCUUUCUUGAUUAGAAUUAUUAACUUUUAUUGGUAUUCAUGGGUGAUAGCUAUUCUUUGUUUGACAUGGUUAAUCUUGGUUGGGAAAUUUGUUCUAAUCAGCCGCAAAACAUGGUCGAAAUUUUGUUGUCCUUGAAGUUCAUGACUUGGAAUCGUCGGGGUUGUUCCCGGCCAGGAUAUUUUUAGUCAAGCUUCCUUAUUAGAUUGAGUAAAUUUGUCAUUUUCUGUUGCAUCUUAUGGAACUCUAUGUCGGAUAAUUUAAGAAUACUAAAGUUCGGAUAUGUUUUUAGAUGAAAGGUGACCUUUCUUUUUGAUAUUGAAGGGGUGUUGCAUAAAAUUUGAUAGCUGCACACAAGUCAAUAACAUGAAACAUGGAGGGUGUGUACAUCCAUCCUUCUCACAGAGGUUUUGAGUUUCAUAUGCAUAGUCAAUUACUCUUAUUUUCUUAUUUGUCCUUCAUCGUACUUUCAAAGUUGUUAUUGACCAAAAGAAAGAAUUAAGUAGUUGAUUAUUAAUCAACUGAUGAUAAAGUAACUUAUUUUGUAAAAUGUUGGUAAUUCUAGUUCUGUAGACUAUGUUAGUUAUGGAGAUAUGUGACCUUUUCUGAAUUCAUUUGAAGAAUAUUACAAGGGGGCACUAUGGUGUUGAAAAUUAAUUUGUUGAAAGAUGAUGGGAAGCCAAGGGUUAUGGCUACUCUGAAUAAUAAUAAUAAUAACUAAUCUUUGUAACCGGAAAACCUGAUUUAAUUAUUUGUUCUAGGAAUGUCAUGGGUGAUUAUAUUCUAGUACUGAGGUACGUGACUUCUUUGUGAAAGCUCAUGUUUUAUGUUCAGUUCAUCAUUUCGUGUCUUGGAAAAGUUGAACAGAUCAAAUAAUGUAGAAAGUUUCAGUUUUCUUGUUGAGAUGCAAUUGUGUUCUAGUCAUAUGCAAAAGAAAAAUGUAUCUCACUAGCAAAAUGCUUUUCAAAAGUAAAAUGAACAUCCAAUGUUGACUUGUUCUCUGCAUUUUGCAUAAGUAUGGGGACCGAGGUGUGACAAUAGAUGUCAAAUGGUAUUGUAUCACAUAUUUGAAUGUAGUUGAUAUUUAAUUUCUUUUUUCAUUUUGCUUAUAAGUUUCAUUCAAUUCAGGAUUCAUUUUGAUAUGCGGAGUCUUUCAACACAUCUAUAUGUAUCUAAUGACUGCCUAAAAGGAUGAAUAUACGUUUGAAAUAGUUGCAUUGUUUUGUCUUUAAUUUAUAAUGUUGAUUUCUUGGUUGAGUUUCAGCAUGUAACUGAUCUGCUAAGAAGAGAAACCAAGGUACGCCUCACUGGUGGCAUGAAGGUGAAAGUUGACAGAGAUGAGUCUUUCCCCAUAUGCUGCCAUGCUUGCAGUAGAUGUUUCACAGAGAUAAAAAGUUGUGGGACUCUUUAAAAGUUAUAUGCAAGAAGGAAUCGUGGUUAAGCGAGCUUCAUUGCAUGAAGAACUUGGGUCCAAUGCCUGCAGUGGGAGGAUGGGAUUCUGAAGGACUUGAUAGUAAAUUACGUGGGAUUUGUUGUAAAUAACUGAAAUACAUGUAUAUUGUGUGUGUCAUCUCUGAUUUUAUGAAAAUUUUAAAUCUUUUGUUUUAUUUCAAA